GAAUCAUUAGAACGUCGGGCAAAAUGCUUAGCGGCAUUUCGUCCGUCUUUAUGUUCUGAUUUCAAAUUACGCCGAGGUUCACUUUGCCUUUCAUCCUUUCAGAGUCGACAAAAUAAGUUGAACGCUGGGGUUGAUGUAAUCGACCUAACCCUCCUCCAAACUUGCUGGCUUUGUGUCAAAAUUUGAAGCUGUUAUUAUUAUUAUUAUUAUUAUUAUAAUUAUUAUCAUUAUCAUCAUCAUCAUCAUCUUCAUCAUUAUUAUUACGAGCAUUUAACUCCAACUAUGAAACUGACUCCCCACCAAUAAAAACGACAACUAUGCAGUCAUCAACCAAUAAAACGAAAAGCAUUGACAACUCUACUACGAACACGGCCACCAACAACGCCAUCACCUCUACCACAAUUAAUACAAGAAAAAUAUGACAGAAGUGGUUGGGGAACAACCGCGACAACACAAAUGGUAACAACAAUAUCACGUGAAUAGCAACAACAGCAUCAACGGUAGCAGGUUUGCAGCAACAAACGAUAUGUCUGACCCAAGUGACCAAAUUGAUAGACUUGAAAAAUAAUGGCCCGACUCUGCGCAGCUGGCGCACACACACACACACACACACACACACACACACACACACACACACACACACACACACACACACACACACACACACACACACACACACACACACACACACAUACACACACACACACACACACAUGCACGCACAAAAUAUAUAAAUGUAUUUCCAUAAACACAAAACAACCGGAGACAGCGAAUCAAACUGUCGUAGAAUGAAAUGCCGCUGAAAGAAAUAAAGGCCGACAUAAAGUUAUCUCGAGGGCUAAGCAAUUUGCUGGCAUUUUAGUACUCUUCAAGAGUGAAGCUCUGUCCGUCUGAUACUCCGUGGUUCUUUGUCAGAGCGAUGAAUAUGUUCUCUGUUCAUCAAAUUUAGAAAGGAGGAUGGUAAGAAUGAAGAUCUCGGGAGUUAUAUAUGGUGAAUAUAUGGUGGAUCACUGCAUGCAUCGUCUUAGAAGGAAGUAACACCAGCUUCUUAAAGAUGAAGUGAUCCCGUCGUGAUAACUGGUCUAGGAUCAGUGUGGAGGUGCUACACCAAAUCAAACCAGACAUUAUCCACAUGAUCCCAAACCUUAUUCGCCUUCCAGGAUGGGAGGAGUUGCAUGUUCCGGUUCAGGGUAGAAGGCUUUUAAGCCACCUAUGUGGGGAGACUGGCCACUUGAAAGCUUUCUGCAGCGAACAACAACAAAAGCGGCACCAACCCCAGCAUAAAACGGUAGCAUGAAGAACAGGAAUAGUAAAAUUAGCAACUGCUGGAACAACACCAACAACAGUAGGAACAGCAAAACUAGCAGCAGAUGCACCACCACCACCACCACCACCUUCAACAGCCGAAAGAAAAACAACGGAUACAAAAACAUCCAAGGGCUCUGCCAACGAACUCUUCCUCUUUCUCUGUCUCGUAUAAACACAAACAUACACAUAGACUUUCACACAAAUACAAAUACACUCUCACCCAUAUCCGAAACUGUUUCCACAGAUACUGAAACCUCUGCAUUACGAAGUAAUAAUGAGGGGGAAGCUCCUCAUCAAAAAGAUAAAAGCCAAAAUAAAGCAAAAACUCACACCAACACACACUAAAAAAACAUAUAAAACACACCCAAAACAAUCACAGAUACAUCUACAGAACACCAACCUCUCCAGCACCACAGUCGUCAAUACAUUCAUCGCUACCACAACUAGCGCCGCUAACACAACCGCAGCCACAACAAACUACAAAAAAACAAAAACAAAAACACGCUCAACAGCAACAACCAGCCAUACAGACACAAAACAUCGCGAUAAUGAGGAGAGCCAACAUAGAAUUGACGGCCCUCAUAGCACGAAGUAAGGACAUUGUGAGAGAGAAUGUGAUCUUCGGCACGAACAUCUUUCAAGCGUCAGAAACACUGAUGAUGGUGCGUAUGCUACUGGAGACUUAUAAAAAAAUUAGGAAUUUUCCUUCGCGAAUAGACUUUUAAGGGUGUUCCCAAAAGAAUUCCAACCAGAUUUGUAGGUCAAACCACUUGACCUUCAACGGACAUUUGCUGAAUUCCAACAGUGAAUUUUAUCUGUUCCAGGUAUCAAAUUAGUUUAUGGAAGUUCUUAAUUCCCCACGGUGAAAUAAUUUAUCGUAAGGCAGUUCAGUCAUUAGUCUUCAGAUUUUGGAAUGGAGUGAUUCCGGCCAGAAAGAUUACCCGAAGAUCAUCUCCAACAAAUAGGAAACCAGGAGUAACGACUCUACAAUGUUUACAGUAUGCUGCAUCGGACUGACCUUGGGACUGGCAGACAGACCUAUCCAAGUGAUGAUUAAAAUCUUCAAAUAACAUCAUCUCUUCGUUUCUGAUCACCUUAUGUAAAGAAUAGCACAACCAAGAUAUACAUAUAACCAGAGUUGGAGUAGAAACACUGUAAAUCAACAAGGUUUAUACAUGACAAUGUUUCGGGGAAACUUUUGAGUGAUGCGAAUAUCGACAGUCUUUUUGUGCUUGACACCGUUUCAUCACGUCGCAUUUUGAAAGCUAUGCUUCUGCAAUCCGAAGAUUAAAACCCAGCUAAAAAUAUCUAUUGAACGAAGGAGGCGUUGAACCCUUCCGACCUCCAAAACGUGAUUAAAACAUUGCAUCUCAUACCAGCGGAGGUCAUUACAUAUGUGAGUGGCUGCUUCCAAAUAUGUUAUCAAGAUAAUACCUUCUUUAAUUGGGCUGACAUUGCUGCUAAACAAUAUCCAGCGCCACCCGUAUGAUGGACUGUCCGGGGGCAAAUGGAAAAACAAAUAAAUUAACAAAUGUUUCUAGCCACUAAAUGAAAGAACAACACUCCUAGCGUUGUUUUCUGGACAAAUAAAAAAAAAACAAAAAAAAAAACAACGGCUGUUGUAAAGAUCAGCUUCUUAACGAAUGUGAACCAGUGAAAACAUUUCUUGACAAGUUUUUUGAAACUUACAACUUAUUUAUCCAAAUUAUUAGUUUACAAAUGUACUCAUAAGUGAUAGUUAGAAGAAGCUGGAUUUUACAGCUUUUCCAUACAGAAGGAGAGAGAAGAGAGAGUUAAUAUGAUACAUGCUCUGAAAAUCCAGUCUGUAAUUAAAACAACGCAACGAUAUAGAUUCUUCUUGUUAAUAUCUAAAUUCUAAAUAAUGGAACUUUGCAUAUUCUAGGAUAAAAAAUUCUUAGAGGAAGAAUUCAUAUAAUUAAAAAAAAAAAAAAGAGGAUAUAAAUAUUAAUGUACCUCAUGUUGAUGCUGACUUCACAGUUGGAGAUUUUGUGUAGUUCAUGUUUAUUAUUAACUUUAUUGUUUAGAAGAGUGAAAACUGAUGAAACUUCUGGUCAAUAAAUUUAUGACCAUGGCAAUACUUCUGCGAUGCUAACUCAAAGAAACUACACAAAACGAAUGCAAGAAAUAUCUCCGCAGAUGUUCAAGUAUUCUUAGACAUUACAUUAGUCCAUUUUAAAUAACGUUUUUGAAAUUCAUUUUUCUCAAUCACUGAUGAUUUCUUCAACAAUGUUUUUUUUUCUCCUAAACACAUGAUUUACUGAAUGGGUGACCAAAUCCCUCACAUUACUAUACAUGUUCUGUCUUCAGUUUGUCACUGAAGUGCAGGCCUACCUGAUUGUCAAACGUGUGACGUGUAGUAGAAACAAUGCCAAAGUAGACAUUAGAACUUGGCGUAACUCUUUGGCUCAGCUGUUCAUUUCGGACCGUCUAACCCAUGCCAGCAUGAAAAAAAGGGACAUUAAUGGAUGAUGCUAAUGCUGCUGCUGAUGAGGAUCUCUCUCUCUCUCUCUCUCUCUCUCUCUCUCUCUCUCUUAUGUAUAUAUAUAUACGUAUAUGGUUCAAAUGUGCAGUAAACAAAAGACAAAGAGAGAUGAGAGAACAACAAGCUGAUGUAUUAGUUUGAUACUCGGUAAAUAUGGAAAAGAUUUUGACGUUUCGAACCUACGCCCAACGGCAAAGAGGAAUGAGAAGGAAAAAAUAGAGAGAAAAAGAGAAAAAAAAAAAAAGAAACGGAGAGAGAAAAAAUGUGUUGGGAUUAAUGGUUCCACAUGUUGUAAUCACCACUGUACAGAACAGAUGCACGAGACACUGUAAUCUUGUCAGGAAAUUAAACACUCAGGGAACAUUGCACAGAACCUCUCAGUCUACUGGGGCAAAAGCCUUUUUAUAGAUUCACAAACAUAAUAAAGAGUUAUUGAUGUUGUU